GAUUUUAUAAACGAGCUGCAGUGCACAUUUGUGUUCAAGAUUUUGUACGGAUACAUGCCUUCAUUUUCAAUGGAUAAUACCUAGGAGUGGAUUGCUUGGAUCAUAUGAUAGAUACAUGAACUGAGGUUCUAAGAUGUUAAGGAACUUGAUCAUGUCACAUAUAGAAACCUGAAGAGCUGAAUAGAAUUGUAGACUUUACUGACUGACCAAGAAACCCAUCCUCAAAUUCAAAGGAGACUAACUUUUAUAGACAACGUUUCCUGGGCUCCUGCCUCUGACUCCAAGCUUCCUUCAGACAAUGGAAAGCAGAGGCUUUCAGAAUGGCAGAGAUCUUGGACAUUUCUCAGACAUUGGCUUCCAGCCUCUACUGCCAAAGCUCCUUUUGGGGUGCUCCUCUUCUAUUGUUCCAGUUAUCCAAGGAUCUAAUGACACUAAUUUUUUUUCCAUUUUCCCCUUCAGCCUGGGUUAAUAAUAGCUCUCUACUCUUGCUAGUCAUUUGCAUGCUUCCCCAUUCCCUCAUAGUUUGUUUAAGUGUUUCAUAAAUAGCCCUUUUGCUAAACUACCUUUUGCUACCCCUUUGAAUUUUUGGUCUUCCCCACCAAUUCCAGAAUAGCAUGGGUAUCAACAGACAAAGAUAAAGAAAAUAACUGUCUGAAAUAAUUUAAUUCACUAGUGGAAGAAAUAACAUAGUUCUUAAGUGAGCAUCUUUUCAGAUAUCUGAGGCUGCUGUGGUCAAGCUGAAAUUAGAGAGCUCAUUACCAAGUUGAAGGCUUUUCCAAAAGGCCUUAUCAUAGUUUAGUUAAAAGGUUGUAUUAUAUCUGUGAUAUGAAAUAUACUCAAAAAGCAAUUGAAAAACAGAUAAACCACUCUAUUAAAGACUUAAAAAAAGAAAAACAGAUCAGUAAACCUUUUACAUCUUUAGCACAGACAUAGGGUUAAAGGGUGUUGAAUGGGGAAAAUACUUAGAGAUGAUCUUAAAAGGCCAUGUGAAGACUCAGCCAAGGAGGAAUGACGAAAGAGGAAGUGACAGUAGGAGUAUGCUAAGUACAUAUUUCCCUGACCAGUUCUGAGAAUAACAUCAAGUAAAAAUUCAUUUGGAUUUAGAGGCUGCUCUCAACAGUAUCUAAACAACUUGAGGUUUCUGUCUUAAGUAUCAACAUGACAAUAUCUAGGUCAAAGGCAUAGUUUGUGAUUAAUAAACUGAAUUUUUACUUCAAAAAGACAAAUAUUCCCCAGCUGCUGCAAGAACAUCCCCAUCCCCUCAAGAAGGAAGAAAGAUUUCAUGACAUCGAUUGAGCAAUGACAGUGUGUGAAUGGUAAAGUUUGAUGUGGUAGUUAUAACCGACUGGUUGUUUGAAUUCCAUGGCUCCCAUGUAAUCUCUGUAUAUAUAUAUAUA